GAAGCGACGAAGCAGGACCGAAAGGAGCUGUGGAGUUUCAGGAAGAGAGAAUGCCGGAAUGAGUAGCGAGAGAAAGGUGAGAAUCCUUUCGGCCGAAUAUCCAAGGUUUCCAGGGUAAAGCUGAUCUGCCCUGGGUAAGUCGGGGCCUAAGGCGAGGCAGAAAUGCGUAGUCGAUGGACAGCAGGUUGAGAUUCCUGCACCCGUAAUGAACAGAAUUGUAGUGACACGGAAGGUAAGACAGAGCCGGGAAUGAGAAAACCGGUGCAAGCACAAUAGAUGUGCGGGAGGAAAAUCCCUCGCAUAAGUCGAAGGUGUGACGCGGACCGAAAAAGAGUAGGGAAGCUGUUAAGCAAGCCGUCAAGAAAAGCUGCUAUUGUUUCAUUAUGGCCCGUACCGUAAACCGACACAGGUGGAUGGGGAGAGAAUCCUAAGGCCGGCGGAAGAAGUAUUGUUAAGGAACUCGGCAAAAUGACCCCGUAACUUCGGGAGAAGGGGUGCCUGCGAGAGCAGGCCGCAGAGGAGAGGCCCAAGCAACUGUUUAGCAAAAACACAGGUCUAUGCAAAACCGAAAGGUGAGGUAUAUGGGCUGACGCCUGCCCGGUGCUGGAAGGUUAAGGGGAGUGGUCAGGAAACGAAGCCACGAACUUAAGCCCCAGUAAACGGCGGCCGUAACAAUAACGGUCCUAAGGUAGCGAAAUUCCUUGUCGGGUAAGUUCCGACCCGCACGAAAGGCGUAAUGAUUUGGGCGCUGUCUCGACAAUACAUCCGGUGAAAUUGAAGUGCCAGUGAAGAUGCUGGCUACCUGCGCCAGGACGGAAAGCCCCCAUGGAGCUUUACUCCAGCUUGAUACUGGGACCCGGUAUUGCAUGUACAGGAUAGGUGGGAGGCUAGGAAAUGUGGACGCCAGUCUGCAUGGAGCCGCUGUUGGGAUACCACCCUUGUGGUGCUGGGUUUCUAACCAGAGGCCGUGAACCGGUCUGGGGACAAUGUCAGGUGGGGAGUUUGACUGGGGCGGUCGCCUCCGAAAGGGUAUCGGAGGCGCCCAAAGGUUCCCUCAGAAUGGUUGGAAACCAUUCGAAGAGUGCAAAGGCAGAAGGGAGCUUGACUGCGACACCGACGGGUGGAGCAGGUACGAAAGUAGGGCUUAGUGAUCCGGUGGAAUUUGAGUGGGAAUGCCAUCGCUCAACGGAUAAAAGCUACCCUUGGGAUAACAGGCUGAUCACUCCCAAGAGUUCACAUCGACGGAGUGGUUUGGCACCUUGAUGUCGGCUCAUCGCAUCCUGGGGCUGAAGUCGGUCCCAAGGGUUGGGCUGUUCGCCCAUUAAAGCGGUACGCGAGCUGGGUUCAGAACGUCGUGAGACAGUUCGGUCCCUAUCCGGCGUGGGCGUAGGAUAUCUGAGAGGAGCUGUCCUUAGUACGAGAGGACCGGGAUGGACUGACCUCUGGUGUACCGGUUGGCGAUCAACGCCACGGCCGGGUAGCCGUGUCGGGACGGGAUAAACGCUGAAGGCAUCUAAGCGUGAAGCCCCCCUCAAGAUGAGAUAUCCCAUCGUAAGAGUAAGACCCCUUGAAGACGACGAGGUUGAUAGGGCAGGGGUGGAAGUGCUGUAAAGCAUGGAGCUGACUGCUACUAAUCGGUCGAGGGCUUGACC
rnacentral:rRNA from 1 species